UUCCCUCCGUCUUCCUCCCCCCUCCCCCAAUUUCGGACUGAGCGCCUUUCUGUGAACCUAGCUAGGACUCUUCCCGGGACGCCCAGGAGGUCAGAAAAUGAAGCGAGAACUAGGAGGAAGUUCUUCGACCGAUUCUCCGAGGAGGAUUGGUUUUUUUAAGGUCCUCUUCCUUAGGAAAGCAGCAGGUUGUCGCUCAAUGCUGUGGGUGAUGCAAUCCCUGCUGCGCCCCGAUCGUCGUCCGGAGCUGCCUAAGUACACCCAGCAUCUCCGUCCAGGGACCAGAAAGACUGGACUUCACCUCAGACUCGUUAAACCGGACCCAGCAAGUUGGGAUGAUGCCUCGAACAGCCGGGCCUUUUCCUUCUCCGAGAUGAAGGAACUGAGACCAAGAGAAACUAUGAGUUGCCAAAGUCAUACUAGCUAAUAGAGGUAGGUAUUCUGUGUCUAAGAGUCAUACUAUCUAAUAGAGUCAGGUAUUCUGUAUUCAAAAAUUUCUGGCAGGUAAAUUUACUAGUUGCUACAAGGGAAUUCAAUUUAACAAGCAGGCACAUGUUGUGCAAAAC
rnacentral:lncRNA from 1 species